AUAUCGGCAGGGAAACCCACAGAGAGGGACUUGCUCUAACAGUUGCUUCCUGCUUCCUGUAGUCCCAAAAUCCUCUGCUUGAUCUAUAUUCUGAAGGCUUAAACACUCUUUGUUUGCCUUUGGUAGACAUUGCUUGUAUGUUCUUUGCUCUUGAGGGUCUAAGAUUGCACAUGUACAUAGUUCUUGAAUGUUUCUGAGAAGGGGGUCAGGCAGCUGCUAUUCGUCUCGUUUUGCUAGGUCUUCACAGCCUCUGGAAAAUGCAACCAACAUUGAUGAGACGUUCCCACAGAAGCACUGCUCAGGCAGCAUCCGGGAGUGGGUCGGAAGAGAGACUGUGAUGCUUUCGAAAAUGUGGUGUCUCGGUGUCUGCUGUUUCUGUUAAUCCUGAAGAUGCUCACCCGUGAGACUGAAUCAGAAGCCUGUCCCUGCCCUCACUCAGAGGAUGAGUCACACGGUGUGGGCGAGGUUUGGAGAUGGAAGCCAGCUCUGCUCUCUCCGUUGGUAACCAAGGCAAAGGCAUCUUGCUGAGAGAAUGCUUGCAAGUGCAUAGAAAGCUAAUCCCACGGUCAGGCCUGUGAAUGUUGGUUACCACUGUUGGCUAUCCUUUGCUUAAGUUUAAGUCACGGCAUCUUCAGAAUCACAUAGUUCCAAGAUACCAAGGCUGCACAACUGGCAAACCGAAGUCCUGCAAUUCCAGGCGAGGAUUGCUGCACUUACUUGAGAGACUUUGUUCCUCCUUUGUACCUGCCACGCGCUCUGCUGGGCACAGUUGUGUCCCUGUAAUCAGCAUAGUGAAGACCAAUGGGGUAGUUUGGUCACCGUAGGAAAAAAAAAACAAACUCUUCGACGCCGAUUUCACAACUACUCAUGGAAUCCCACAAACUCUUCUUUGCUGCAGCUCAGAAUCUCUUCAACUGACCGAAUUAUUUCCGUCGAUGUGAAUUUCAAUGCCAUCCAAUAGCAACAAGAUUCAACUAAACAAAGGAUGAGCUGUCCUUAGGGUUUCCCAGAGGGGCUUCUGUCAUAACUUUUCAGUCAGAUGAAUCUGAAGAAUAAAAUUAUUACCAUCUGUCCAGUUCAGGUAGAGAGGAAACUUGUAUUUUAGGGAUGGGCUUUUCUUCUCGUGGGUCUCGUCAGGAGAUUAAAAAUAAAAGAUUCCCCUCCCCCAAAUUCCAUCACCAAGGACAGGUCAUAAUAUCAGGACAUGUCAGUCAGAGGUGAGUGAGAAGCAUAAACUGCUGAGAAGCAGAGACAGACCGAUAGCUCUAGAUGAGGCCAGAGACAGCAUGAGGAAGAGUGCAGACUAUACUAGGGAGAACAAAGGAGAAAAUGAUCGGGCCCAUCCGCGAUUUCGCGAAGCUCUUUGGAGAACUGAAAAUCACUGAGUCGAGUCCUGGACAGCGAGGAAUGUGCUUCCGAAGGACGAAUGACGCGGGAGAGGAGUGGAGUGUAAAAUGGCGUUCAAGUGCCUGUAUCAAAAGGAAGCAUCAGACAACUUGGAAAUCGAUCAAUAGUGUCAUUCAAGUGGAACACAGAACAGACAAUAACCGAAAGAGUAAAGUAGACCCAUUGCUGGGUGACAGAUUUUACUGAGGAGACAUGGUGCACGCGCUUACUCGUCCCAUGUGGGAACCCGAGGCAGACCACAGUAGCACUUGCACCAGUGUUCUACUUGGUGAGCCAGGAUGUUCUCAUUAGAGUUAUCAACAGACGUGUGGUGAGCGGUUACUGACAACAAAUAGGACCAACUCAAAUGUAGCUGUCUGAUCCGAGGGCCCGCAGCAACAGAGCAAGCUGCUCCUCAGGAAGGCUGCGACCCUGGAGCAAUCGGGAUAGCUUGCAGGCCACCGCCCAAACCUCUCCUCUGCAGCAAUGCAUCUCUACCCAGCAACUGUUUGCUCCUUUUAUAAAACUGGGAGAGACUUUCCAGAGGAUCUUCCAAGUUGUUCUUUUCCUAGACGUGUGACCUUUUCUUUACCUCCCAAGUCUCCGGAGCCUCUUCCUUUCUCCUGGAGGGAAGGUUUCAGUUCAGAGGAAAUUGCCUGACAGCUCCUGUAUGUGCCCCUUUCCACUGCUAACGCAGCCUCUGCUUCUUCCAAACCCACAGAGCAGAGGUCAUGAUGGCAUUGCGUCUGUGGAGUUAGUGCCAGAUUCCACGGAUUCAAGAGUUAUCCCAUUUCUCCCCAUUUCUCUUGGGAUUCCAAGGCUACCCAUACUUCCCAGUUAACUACAAACGUGGGGGUUCCCAAACGCUUCUCCACAGGUUCGUUAGUGGUCUGCUGUAGAGGAUACAGCUUGGGGCCUUCUGAAUGGUAGGACCUAAAGAACAAGAUAGAAAGGGCUGUAGGUAGGGCCCGGUAUAAGGCUGCUCUGUAGCCCAUGAGUUGCUCACCAGUGAGAUGUUCUAUGACCCUUGUGUUCAUCAAAGGCUCAUUAUGCAGGCAUGAUUAAGUCAUUGGCUAUGGUGGCUGAACUCUUUCUCCAGCCUUUUUCCACUCCUCGGGGAAGGUUAAGGUUACUGAAACUUUCAACCUGUUAGUCAAGGGGUUGGUUCUACAGAUGACCGGCUCUCAUCCUGAAUCUAUUUAGCUCCAAUUCUCUUCUUGCGUCCACAUUGUUGUAAAUGUGGUGCUCUGCCAGCCUGACUUUCAGCAACUCAACAGCAGCAGCACCAGGGGUGGCACUGGUUUCCACUGUCACUAUGAGGAAGACAGGAGAUUGAUCAUCAGUCAAAUCCACGGAUCUGUGAGGAAAAAUCUGUAAACACCUGUAAACAUCUGUCAACAUCCGGAACACUGCCCAGGACUGUGUGGAUGUUUGAUUAAGCUUCUGUUCGCUCACUUUUGAGCUAUUAAGAGUUCUGUUAUUAAGGUUCUAUUUAUAAGGUCAAAUGCAUUCAGUUGAUCAAAGCCCCCAGGAUUACCACUGGCAUUGUUAGAGCUCAGGUCACUUUCUGGUUCAAAUGCUGGAUAUUUUAUUUCAUUUCUGCCUCUGUGGGUGAGUGCUGAGGGAGUAAAUCUCUCUGCCGAGCAGAGAGAUGCUAUGCAGGGUCCAUGGUUGCUGUUCUUUUUCCUCACGCCUCCAGCAUUCACAUACCCGUGAUUGACGAUCAUUGUUUUACGGUUUUUAAAAUUCCUAUCCAGAGACUUCAGAUUAAUAAUUUCUAUCAGAUGAUUUCCGCUAGUCACUUUACAACACACCAGGAUAUAUGACCGGUAGGUACAAGGAAGUAUUUAUUUGAUUAAAAUCCUUUCGCUUAAUUUUCUGGUUGCCAGUAGCAACCCACAAAAGAUAGAUCUAAAACGACAAGUCGGUGCCACGAAGAUUGCCAGCCAUGUUUUAUUCUUUCCUGAGUUGUGGUUUUAAAAUAGCCUUCCCAGUGCUGAUAGCAAUAAAAACAAUUGCUGUGUAUUCUGCCUUAGACAUAUCGACAAACCAUCUCAUAAACAGCCUGGGCUACUAAUGAACUUUUCCCUGAGGCUUUUAGAUGCAGCCUCAGGCCCCAUAGACUGAAGCUAUGUCCAUAGCUAUAGGGACAAUGACAGUGUUUGUACUAUAAAAAAUAUUUUCUAAUUUCUAUAAACUAAUGCAUGAGAUCAGUGUGAAACACAGAGUAGCAGAAAUAUUUGCAUCUUUUUGAAAACUACCGUCAUUUAAUAAACAAUGUAUAUCACCUCUUU
rnacentral:lncRNA from 1 species